AAAUAGCCGCAGUAUCCUGACUGUGCGAAGGUAGCAUAAUCAUUUGUCUUUUAAUUAAAGGCUUGUAUGAAUGGUUGGAUGAGGGAAUUACUUUCUUUAUAUUAAAAAAUUGAAUUUAAUAUUUAAGUUAAAAAGCUUAAAUUUUUAAGUGGGACGAGAAGACCCUAUAGAAUUUUAUUAUAAAUUUUAUAUUUAAUUUAUGGUUAUUUUUAAAUAUUUAUUUUGAUAAUUUUAUUGGGGUGAUAUUGAGAUUAAAAAAACUCUCAUAAUUUAAUAUUUAAUUAUUUUUAUUUUUAGGAUCCUAUUUUAUGGAUAUUUAGAUUAAAUUACCUUUGGGAUACCAGGGUAAUUUUUUUGGAGAGUUCUUAUGGAUGGAAAAGUUUGCGACCUCGAUGUUGGAUUAAAAUUAGUUUUAA
rnacentral:rRNA from 1 species